GUGAUUUUUGUCAGGAAAAUUUGCGUUACAAUCUUUUUCCGUAUAUUCAAAAUUAGCGCUUACACAAAUAAAGUUGGAAAUAAUUUUUCACUUUCUAUUAACGCUUUAGAUAUUAGUUAAUAUGUUUUGUUGUUUGUUGUUUUAUUUUUUAGUUCUUUAUGAAUAAUAUUAAUUAAUAAAUUGGUAUUAGUUAAAACCCCGUUUAUAAAAUAACGCCGGUCAGGGGAAGUAAUUGUUGCGGUCUAUGAUUUUGUUUGUUGUGUGUCUAUGAUUAUCGUUUGUGCAAAUGGUGGCGCUGUUUGGAAAAAUUUGAAAACAACACGAUUGGCAAUUUAUUUGGAUUUCGAAGAUCCUGGUCCUGGCUGAAAUUUAGAGUACUGCAGCUGUAGCCUGUAUACCAUACAUUCGCUGUAGCCUGUACACCAUACAUUCACUGUAGCCUGUAUACCAUACAUUCAACAUAAAAAGGACUGUCAGGAUGCUGCAUAAAAUGGUCUUAGCUAGAGCCUAGAAUGUUAAUUUCUUGGGAAAAUGCUGCAAGGAACUGACGGGGUGCAGUUUUUCUUACCAAUCAUAGGCAUGUCCAUGGCCGAGUGGUUAAGGUCGUUGACUGCAAACUACUUGGCACUCACCGCUGUUGGUUCGAAUCCUGACAGGGACUUUGGAUUCUUUCAUAUGAGGAAGCUAUCCAGCUAGCUUACGGAACUCAGGUGCCCGUUCGUACAUGAAACAAUGCAUGGAAGGGCACCUCUCCUCCUGGAAAGUCGCCUAUAAGAUCUUUAGCCCAAUCAAAGAAACAAACAAACCAUACUUCUUUCUAUUGUUAUUGUUAAUAUAUGAUACUGGAACAUUUUCAAAUCAUGUGAAAUAAACGAAAUAGCGAUUUGUCCUAUUUUACUCUGUAAUUGGAUGGAUAAAGAAGAAGCAAUGAGGUAUUUGUUAAAGAACAAAUUGAA